rnacentral:piRNA from 1 species
AGUUACCCUGGGUUCGGGUA